rnacentral:lncRNA from 1 species
UAUGCAUUGCCACAUUCUCGUGUGUUAUUCGAAGUGAGAAGCAAGUGGAAAACCCGGUCUGCUCCGUGCGUGCAAUGUACGUACGUGGAAACAAUAAUAUCUCAGUCACUCAGCUUUUAGAAUACUGGAUAUUUUGCUUUUGUGUUAAUCUUCAGUUAAAAGUGAUUGCUUCAUAACCGUCUGGUAUCGUAAUUACAAGACUGUGAGCAAUAUUUCUGGAAAUCGGGGAUCUGCAGGUGUACUGUGAACGAUUGAGUGGAGGGCCUACGUUCUGUACCAGCACCUCGACUCAUCUCGACCCCAGGAGCUCUGGCUGAGGUGAACGGAAUAUCUCCGUAGUAAGUCCCGCUAGAUCGUGAGGAUAUCCACACUUCGCUUCAUUGAUUAAACUUCUAUUAAACCUUCCCGUCCUUUCAGCUGUGGGUUUAUCGUCCCUUUACUGAUGUUUCGGAGAGGCAUACUGUAGAUUCAAAGGUUUCUCGUUCAUGAGAGGGUUUCAAUGUUUCAUUUCUACGGCUUCUGAUGCUGAUAUUCUCCCAUUUGCAUUUUGGAAAAGAAGCCCCUCUGCCCGUCAAUCAUCGGAUAAGAUCCUUCCCUUCACCAAUAUUAGGGAGGGAGUCUCAGUGUGAGCCAUCAUUCUUGAAGUCGCCUUCGGUCCAUUUACGCUCUUCUUCUGCAUCUCUCUACGCAAUAUUUGACUUUUUUUUACCUUAUUCACGAAAUCAUCUCCACAUUGGAUCAAAAUUAUAAACUAAUUUUUCAUUUUCAUGACGUGCUUACCCUGCCGUUGGCUGCGUUUGAGGCAAGUCUUAUCAGAAAUGAUUGAAUGAAACGCUGAUUAAUCCCAUCAUAGUGUCUUCUAUUCAUGUAACGCAGAGUUAUUUCAAGUCAAGGAAUCACAGAGGCGUAGAGCCAGCUUGAAUUCAUCGGCAGUGUUUCGCUAAUGAACCCCCUGUGUCGUCUAAUAUCAGCAAAUGAAACUAACUUAAUGAGUUUUUUGUUUACAUUGUGUUUCCCGCUUCAUUCAGUUAUUCAAUCUAAUUCGACGCAGGUUAAUUACCACCACUGAUUUCCCCCUUCGGUUUUUUUUUAUUCCAUGGCCCCUUUAACCCUCCUUUGACUUUAAUCAACUCAACUCAAUUGCGGUGUAUGUCAUUAGCGCGAGUUCGGAAAAUUGGUAAACACUCUGCUUCAAUUUGUGGUGGAGCGCAAAGAGAGGGGUCUAUUUUCUCUGCCUAUUGUAAGGGCCGACAAAGGUUUGGUUACGGAGCCCGGGUUUAAUUCAUUACGGGUCCAUUCAAUCCAGCGAAGAGUAGAUAAAGUAUCGGUGCAUUUCAUCGGUCUGCCUACCCCCGGAUUCUUCAUUAGAUGUUAGAAGCUGGGAUCAUCUCCGACAUAAAAAUACAUUCAUCAGAAGCAUCUCCAGCUCCGUCGUCUUCUUCGUCAUCUUCGAAUUUUGCCAGACUGAGGAGCUACCACAGUGACUGCCUGCCCUGCCACUGUGUAGUAUUUCGUAUAGCAUCUUUCAUACCGAGGGAACAGUGUUACAUUUUCCACUCUUCAUAAAUCUCAUUUUAUUCUUUUUUUUCCAAAGGAGCUGAGAUAUUAUAUUUCAUGUGAGUUCUAUAUUUACUCUCCUCUUGAUGCCAAUUUUUUUAUUAUUGUGAUUCAUAAUCCAGCACCUUGCCGGGAAUUUCAUUUCAAGAUCUCAAGAUUUCUUCUUGUUUCGGAGUGGUUCGGAUGAAAGGCAACAUAAUUGCGAAAUAACUGUCAACCCUCAGCACCGAGGAAGUUGAUCGAACAAACGAGUUGCGGACGACGUGAAUAGAUUAUUAUAUCGAGUUUUAAUAAUAGGCAUUGUGCACCUGUGCAUACAUCGAACCAACCCUCGCUUAUAACCCUUCGAUGAGCCCGCCAUCUACAAACAUGUCUCACACACAGGAUAGGAGCCAAAUCGUAGACAAAGCUAACAAUAUGGACAGCACCAAAGAAAACAGACCUGCACCAACCACGAACAGCAACAACAACAACAGCAACAACAACAACAACAACAAUGCGGUACGAUGUUGCGCGGGGUGUGGCGG